AGAAAGCAAUUAGCUAAGGACGCUUGGCUUAGCCUUCUCAUAUUCUCAGCCACUCAUUUGAAUACACACUCUGCACUAGAGCAGCCGGAGAGCCCUUCACUCCAGUUCCCUGUUUGUACGUUGUCAUAGAAAUAGAGUGCUGGCAUUUUCCCCCCAGUUGCCAUGAGACAAAUACCUGACAGGUAAGCAGGCAGGUGAUGGCCUGUCAGACUGGCUUGGGAUAGGAAGAGGGAACAGUUUGAGUCUGGAGAUUUGGGAGAAGGAGGGGAAAGAAUGGGUUGACAGAAGGAAGGGUGGUGAUUUUCUAAGUGCAAGGUUUCUUGAAAUGCCUGUUAUUUAAAACAGCGAUCCUUAUUUCUUAAUGCUAGCCUAUAUAGCAAGUUCUACUGUGUUUUGCGGGAUUUACUCCCUAGUAAAUGCAUUUUGAAAACCAGCAAAAUGUAGUGGUUUGGGAGUCUGACAAGGACUCUGGAAAACAGGGCUUAAUUCCCAGCUCAGCCAUGAAAACCCACUACAUGACCUUGUUUGAGCCAUAUAUUUUCAGCCUCAGAAAAACUGUGCAAUUGAUCAAUUGCAACAUUCACACUUGACUCAAACAGACAAGAGUUCUUUCUCCCAACCUGGACUUUCCACAGAUAUAUAAACCCCACUUGCCUAGUUUCCAUCAGACCUCACAACCUCUGAGAAUGCCUGCCAUAGAUGUGGGUGAAACGUCAGGAGAGAAUGUUUCUAGAACAUGGCCAUACAGCCCGGAAAACUCAUAGAACCCAAAUGUGUUUCAGAUUUCAGCCUUGUAAAACUUCUUUCUUCCUGAAUAUGUUUUAAAGAUAUUACAGUUGCCUCUUGUUCUUGAAAAAUUAGAGAAAACGGGUUUGUAAAUUUGGACAUGCACAGUCACAUUAUAAUGUAUAUACAUACACAUCAACUGCAGUUCUAUUUUGGCCAGCAAGAUUUGGAGUAAAACAAGUAAUUGUUCCUAACUUUUGGUCCUCCAGGCAUUUUUGACUUCAGCUUCCAGAAUUCCUGACAGUUGGACAAGUUGGUUGUGGCUUCUGAGAGUUGAAGUCCCAAACAUGUGGAUGAUCACAAGAUUGGGAACUCAGAGAGGAAAGCAGGCUAUGUUCCCAAUGGCCAUGCGGUAAUUGAGCAUAAAGGACUCUUCCUCUGCAGAUUCCCCUACUAGCUGGAAGAUUUCAGGUGUUAGUGAUGACCGAGACCCCGGCUUUCAAAUUAAUUUGAACCCGCAGCGGAGAGUUCCGCAGAUCCAUCACCAAAGGAAUGGAGCGGGACCGCAGCAGACUAUUAUUAAAAGAUUUUUUUUCUUCGCUUUCCCCUUCCCUGAACUAUGUAACAAAUCCCCCAAUAAAAGUAGCAUUUAUUUUAACAGUAA